rnacentral:tRNA from 1 species
GAGGUUAUAGCACAGUGGUAUAGAGUGUCUGCUUAGCAUACAUGAGGUCCUGGGUUCAAUCCCCAGUACCUCU